GGGGUUGUAGCUCAGCUGGUUUAGAGCGUCUGCCUGUCACGCAGAAGGUCGCGGGUUCGAGCCCCGUCAAUCCCGCCA
rnacentral:tRNA from 5 species